CACGAAAGAAAGUAACAGAAGUAUGUAAAUAGGAAGAGAGAGAGAAAGAGGAACCGAGAUGUUGCGGUUUCUAUACGUAAUUUUUAAGAAGCACGCGGUAACGCCGUUGCAAGACGCAGUAAAUGCAUUCCUUACGCGCUGGUUUCGUUGGUUUUUCGCGGACACGAUUAUCGAAGAUACGUACCUCGAACUUGGAUCGUACUAUAGAUCGAUCGUACAAUUACGUUUUUCGCAUAUCACGUGUUAAGAAGAACGAUCGACGCCCGGUGAACAAGCACGCUGCAAUCGACUCGGAAGAUAUCUCCGUGACACCACAGUUCUAGCAUGCUGUCAGUGGUUUCUUUAUUUUCUUUUUUUCUAUAUCCAUUUCCCUCUUUCUUUUUUUAGUUUUAUGGCUUUUAGUCGCGCUUGUUCGUGCAGUUUUUUACUUCUUUGUGACGACUUCGUAGUGAUACGUAAAAACGUUUUAAACGUGAACUAAAUGGAAAACGACGAACUUAUGGAUGGAAGAAACUCGACUCGAGGUGCUCGUUUCUUCGCCGAAGAGGAUACAGAGGUACGCUACGGACUGUAUAGUCGGGUUAAGUUACGUUUUACUCGUUGGUACAUCAACUGGAUAUACUCAUGCGAUCCAACAGUAAAUUAGAAUACGUACAUUAGGAAAAGGAAAUGUACUAAUGAAACGAAAUAUCAGGGAACUUCACGAGCCGCAACAAUAUAUAACGACCUUUAGAUUCUUCUCUGAAGAAUACGUUAUAUUUACGAUAUAACCAGUUUCACUUGUAUGCUUCUUUUCUUUUUGUUAAAGAAAUUCGAAACACGAUGAAUGCUAGUUAUUUGUCAGUAAGAUAUCUUUCGAAAAAUAGCGCUUUUGAAAGUAAUCUCAAUUUAAAUCGAUAAUAUCAUCGAGGCCCUAUCAGAUUUCGCAUCAGUCGCGACAUUAAUGAACACAGUAAUGCUACUUCAUUAUUGUGCAGCGACGUAAUUCGCGUAAUCUCUUCGAUUUCUUUCUUUCCAUUUUUUAUCUUUUUUUUUAUUUUUUAUAAAUAAGUCCGACCGUCCACAAUUUCGUUUUGAAAUUAGCCAACAAAACAUCGAUGCACUGGCGGACAGAUUCUUGUUUGAAAUUCUGAAGAGGAAGCGAGACAAUCGUUUUACACAGGGAAACAGUUGACGACGUUUGCAAUCUAUGUAUAGCAGUCCAACUGAUUUCCUUCUUCCCUUUCCCUCUUGCUCAUUACAAGACGCGUUCUCUGUGUUAACGGUGUGAACGGUUCAUACUCGAAGAGGAAAAAAUGGUGAUACAUGCGAUAAGCAAGAAAGCUAGUUACGAGAAAUGGAGUAGGCUGCGUAUAGUCGAUGGAUGGAAACGCGUAAGUUUGAGGAACGAACUCAAAUUGCACGAUAAGUACUACAAUGCUAAGAGACGUUUAGGUAAGGGAAUUCUAAGACAAUGCACGAAAUGUACAAGUGAUUUCGCUUCGGCCUUCUCGAGCUUAUUAUACUUUGGCAGAUCGAUAUAUUGUUUGACACACGAAUCGUUCAGAAGCCACGUUGAUGUACUCCGUAAAUUAAAAUGCGAUGAUGUUACAAACGCAACUUUGCCAAAUUUACCUAUUUAUAUGGUUUUCUUGCGAUGAAUGAACUUAUGGAAAUCGUUUGUUUUUUGAGAAUUGAAUAUUAAUCGUAUACUUAUAUAAUAUAAUUAGGAAAUUGAUAAAAGGCGGAGUUGAUCAGUCUGGCUUUUGAGAGGCUCGCAUUUGAGACGCGAUUCGCGCGCUUCUUUCGACUCUCGUGGUUAGGAGAGUGAUGAGAACGAAACUUUCUAUAAAACUCAAUUUUCCAAGAACAGACUCGACCCGAAAUUUGAACAACUGUUUCUUUCUCUUCGCGAGUAUCGCUUUCUGUAUACUACAGACAAAUAUGUAGAUACGAAAUGUGUUUUGCAUAUCGUAAGUUUUUUAGAUCGCUCAUCUUACUUUCGACUCGUAACUUGUUCUAUUUUUACGAACGUUAUCGAGUGAUCGUUUUACUUUUUCGAAUUGUGAAUUUUCAAGUACGUAGAAAUUGCGAUUUCUCACUGCCGAAUUCCUAAAGUCAAUAUUGAUACGAAUAGUUUAAUUGAUUGCAUUGUAUCGUGAAACACAUUUACGUAGGCGCUAUAUUGUACGCCACUAUUGUCAAGAGAAUUGGCGCGAAACAAAAUGACGAAUACUACAAAACAAUUGACGCGUUAAUUCUAUUUCAUGCGUGCGAUGAAAAAGUUUUUCCUUUCUCCGAUGGAAAUAAUUGAUGUUUCGUUACGUUACAAUUGCAAUUACAGCACAAAUACGAACGAACAAUAAGAAGAGUAUUUAUAAUGUAAACGGUUUUCACGUGACAUCCAGCGAGUGCUAAUUUUGUUUUCUAUCUUGUUAUAUCUUGUUUCUAUAUAUAGUUUUAUCAUUCUGGCGCGUUUUGUAGUAAAUAAACGAUUAGUAACGAUUUAUUAUUACGCGGUACGAUCGAUGAUAAUUGCGACUGAAUUUACAAAAAGAAUAUGCCAAAUAUUUACAAAUAUUAUCAGUUAUCGAUUAGCAAUGAUAUUUAUAAAGAUAGCUAGUAAGUAACUUUCUUUUCAACUACGAUAUUACGAUACGACGUCACUGCCAAAUUUUUAUUUCUGUGCCGCGAAAAAAUACGAAACUUUUUUAUAUUUAAUUGAUAUGACAAUUAUUAUAUCACGUGAAAACGGUUGACUUGUUAUUGACAGAAAGAAAAAAGACAUGUUGCUACACAUAUUUUCCCAAGACGGUAAUAACUUAAAAGCCAUCUAUGUAUUCUAUCCAGACGAAGGUAUAAUAUCGCAACGAAACGAUAUGAUAUUACUAAAAAAAAAACAAAUUUUGAGAGGAAAUGUAAUCAACAUAAUCAGUGAAAUCUAUACACAACAGAAAUUUAAAGAAAGAGAAAAGAAGUAGGAAAGACAGACAAACAGGUAGAAAGCAAAGAAGUAAAAGUGAGUGUCUUGGAGUAGUGAUAUCUUCAAAAAAGACAAUAGUACAUAAGUUUAAUUAUACGAGUAUGAGUUUAGUUAAGAGUAAACUAUUCCCCUGGCACAGCCAAGUUAGAAGUUGCAUUUUUGCAUAAAAAAAAGGUGAGGAUCUUUAUGCAAAACUAUAAGACAGAAAAAACGUAGUUCAACUAAAUGUUUAUAUAUAUAUAUUUUUGCAUUUGUUUCCAUUAAAAAUUGAUUAUCCUUGUAAAUAGUGCGAUAUGUCUCAGCGUUUCACACACUCCAGAAAAAAAACAAGUAAUUAAAGAAAAUGGAUCAUAUGAGGGUCUCACUUUACCUAAGCUAUAAUGAAGUAUUGUAUAGGAUUAUUACACGCUAGGCCACGUAUUAUAUCUGAAAGAAAAGAAAAAAAAAGAGGAAGAAUUAUUCCAGUUAUCGGACGAGACAACGUCUUUCCGUUUAUCGAAAGCCUAAGUAGUCGACAUAUAUUUUUGAAAAGAAAGAAAAAAAAAGAGAUACAAAAAGACACACUGCAUAUGUUUGGCCUAUUGUAAGAGAGAGAGAGAGAGAGAGAGAGAGAGAGAGUCCCGCGAACACACGAUGACGCGUGAAGCGCCACGAGUGACAAAAGCUCGUAUUAAAAAGUCGGUCAAUAAAGUGUAAGUUUCGUUCAAUUUCCAUGAAAGGAAGAUCGUUACGAUCGAUACGCGCCCAAUCGGAAUUUCUUCCAAUGAAUUCGAACAGUGAGAUAACGAGAGCAAGAAAAGAGAAAAGAUAAAAGAAAAGAACGUGAAUCGAUGUUCGCUAUGUUGUGUAUGAUCAUCGAGAGAUUACGUUGAGAAAACUACGCACGUCCCUGAUACGCAAUGACGCGGCGGCGCCACUCGCAUAUCCAAGCACAAACACGUUCGCGCGCACGCGCUAAAUUGAAACUCGUGCCAAACUGCGCGAAAUUAAAUUAACACGAGAAUCGCUGCGUAGAAAGGCAUGUAUAUCCCGAGCAAUCAUACUUACGUCGGAGUCUCGAAAACGGAUCCAGCGUGAACGAUAGUUGUCGACAAUCAAUCGCAUCCUACACUAUUUUCAUUCUCCGUUCUAGCGCGAUCAUCGAUCGAGCUAUCGAUUCGUGAAUUGGAUCGAUUUCGAGUUUCCUGUGGUGUCUCUGUGUAGGGUAUCCUUGAAUACGCACACGUAACAUAGAAAGGAAAAAGAAAGAAUAAAUUUGCACAUGCAGCAAACAAGGAAGGAAAGAGAAAGAAACCGGAAGGGUGUCGUUCACAGAAUCGAUAUAUUGUAUACUUUUCUGCGCCGUUGUCAUGUGUGUUUUAUGCUUGAGAACUGUUUGAAAGUUUUACGAAUAAUAACGUUUUCGUAGCAUGCGCUAUUGUUAUUUCAUUAAUCGGGGAGGACACUGAUUUGUUACGGUAGAUUCUACAAAGCUUAAAGAAAAAAAAAGAAACGUGUAUUGUUAACCGCUGCUGUUGUGUAUGGAGCCGCACCGUUCGGCUUAGACUGAUGAUAAAAUUCACGUAUGCUCAAUUAGAGAUCAUGUUUGCGCAUAAUUAAGAAUUCUAUUUACAUAUACAUGUUUUAUAUUUGUAAUUAACGAAAAUCAUCUAUACCUAAUAUUACCUGAUAUUAUUAGAUUAUGUAAUCUCCAAAGUAUUUGCUCAUCAAAGUGCUAGGCAUGUUAGACGGACCGAUAUUCGUCCAAAAUGGUACCUUGGAGAUGGACAUACCAUCUAACAGUACGAUAUUUGAUAUUUUACACAAUAAUUAAUAAUUCCGUUGAUUAUUCUAAGACAUAGUCAAUCCUAAUUAUACAAUCAUUAAGAUACGAGGAUAUAUAUAUAUAUAAAUUAACCGUUUUACAUGUAUAUAAUGUACAUAUACGAAACUUAGAUAGACAAGAAAACAAAAGGGAAAAAAAUUGAAAAAGAAAUGAAAUGCAUAAACGAAUUAAAAUAUCAAAUUUAAUAAAAACGAUCGAGAGCUUUCGUAACUAGGUAAAUGUUCGUAUCGACUUUUGAUGUUUUUUCUUCGUAUUCGUUUUUUCUAUUCUUUCCUCUUUUAAAAGAAAGAUAUAACAUACAACGGAAAAAAAGACGAAUAUAAAAGAAAGAAGAAUGAUUCUCUCGCCGACGAUGCUAUUGCGAUUAUACUUACAUGUCGUUGAAUUUUAUAAUACGAGGGCGCUGCGCAGAAACGGCAUGAAGUUGCGACGAAACUCGCGAGUUUACAAUAAAUCGCCGAAAGUGACGUGACGAAUUUUACCGUAACGAACUUAUCCGUUCCAAAUUACCAUUUCCACACAAGAGGCGAAGACUGGUUUAUAAAAUACACGAGCCGUUUUUUGUCAUUUUUUAAUGCUGUUCGGACGACUCGAUUUUAUAUUCGAUUUCAGAUUUCUUAUUCGUUAGAACGAAACACGAAAAACAUUCAUUUACGAUAUUCUUCAAUCUCGAUAAUCGAUUGUUGCGUUUCAUUGCGAAUCGACAGGCGAGAAAUCUCGCGCUCGAAACAAAAAACGAGCGAUCGCUUUGAGAAACUUUUUCGAAUGUACUUUUUCAAAAUUUGCAUAGUUAUAUGAUAACUACCAAACGAGUAACAAAAUCAACAACUUUGAAUCUAUAAAGUAUUCGAUCGAAAUUUAUUUAAACGUUUGCUUUCUUACAAAUGAAAAUAAUAAGAAUCAAUACAAAAUUUAAAGGUUAAAAAAUCUCAAAGUAGGUUUCUUGCGCGUCCAAACAAAAGAAAGAGAAGAAUAUAUCGCGUAUAUCGAGCGAUACUGAUAAACGAUAUAUCGUUAAGCGUAUCAUCAGAUAUAUGUUGCUUCCGUUUGUGUGCCAAUAAAGAAAAAUCGACAUUCUUGAUGUAUAAAUAUAUGAAACUUAAUGAGAACGAUAUUAUUGUUACGCGGGCCGCCAAUACGGCUAAUUUUUUCUGAUCAGAAUUUACGAUGCAAUGUCAUUCUUUGGAGCAAUCAUCGCUGUUCAUAAGUACAACCGAUUAAAAAAAAAAAAAAUUACCGGAGAGGGGAAGAAGGAAUUCUCCGAUGAAAGAGAAAAAAAACGAAGAAAGAAUGGGAGGAAAAAGGAAAUCGUGUAAUAUAAACUAAGCUACCAAGCAACUGGUACGCAUUAAUUACUUGUAUAUAUACAUAGUAUUUUUACAUUCUAAUUCUAAAUUACAUUUCCAAUUCUAAACGGUAUACAUUACUCUGUGAGCUUCGCUUGUCGUCUGUGUAUAUAUCAUCGAUAACGUUUCUAACGUUGAUUCGCCUUAAGGAAAAAUAUUCAUAGAUAAGACGCGAACUGCGAACCUGGCAAUGCUCGACAAAUAUUAUCCCCUCCUUGUGCUUGUUUCACUGCACCCUCUGCACAAGAUUCAAUAACACACGCCUCGUGCCUUCAUCGCACUUAAAUUAAUUAGAAUGUGUAAUAUUAUGGUCGCGCGUGUAAUAUUCCUAAACGUGACUAUUCGCGGGAUAUAUCGUUCGCCAUUCUCUGGAACAUAUUUCAAUGAAUUUCGCGAUUCUCUUAUGAUUGCAUCAACUUGUGCAAUACACCGUGUUUAGCCCAUUCAGUACGAAGCAAUGAAAUAAUGCGUGUAAAAUACGUAAGCGCAAUAUUAUUGCACAAUAACAAAUUUGAAACUCUGAAAAUUCGAAUGUCUUGAAAAUUUAAAAAUAAAAUGUUACAUUAACGCAACGUUCGUCCUUAAUGGGUUAACAUCGAAUGAUUCAUGCUACUGUAUAAUUCAUUUCAUUUUAUUUAAAAUAACAUUUUGAAAGCUCUUGAGAGGCUGCUUUCGUUCAUAACGUAUCCGCGAAUAUUUUCGUACGUGCAUCUCACGCGACCAUAAAUCAUAUAGGAUGACAAGAAGAAUACUCGAUUGUGUACAUCGUAUUACGAUGUAUUCGAUGUUUAUACUCGUAAUUUAACUUCUAUUUAAGCUAUAUGCUCAUAGCGAAUGUGAUCGUAUCUCCCCGAAUAUGAUGUCACGGCGUAUAAAAGCGAAGAGCAACGCUCAUCGAAUACACUUGGAUAAUCUUCGCACGCAUCUUUAAUCGUUAACUUAACACGAUAACAUCGCCUCUCGUGGCUUAACGUUAUCGAGCUUUGCCCCUUUUUUUCCCCUACAGAAGAAGGAACUUCGCCAGAAUUCGUCGUCAUUUUUUUUAUUUGCUUAUUCAUUUCUACACACAGAGACAGAGCGAAGCUCAACAUACUAGUCCUUACUUUAAAACCAAAGUAAAGAGAUAAAACACAAACAUUGUAUAGCUUUUAAGAAUCUCCAUUACGUAUUCACACCUGUGUGUCUAUACAGAGAAGGCAUAAUUAUAACUAAAUAAUUCAGUCAUCGUAACUAGGUAAAUGACUAACCGAUAAGCGAAUAGAUAAAGAAGAAGAUACAAUGUUAAGCCACUCGUUAAGUGUACUGUUUUAUUUUAAUUCAUUUUUUACUACACGAUUAAAAUUUUAUCUAGCAACCUUCGUCGGCUAGGAAUGUAAAUUCUGUAUCUGUACAUUGUUUUCCUAUUUCAACUAUUAAAAGUGAUCGUCAACUUAAA